AGGAGCCGGGGGUAAACACAAAUGCUCCCUGCUUUCCUUACAGCUCUGCUUCAAAGUCCUGCAGCACGCUCAUGAAUGUACCCAAUGCUCCUCUUCCCUCCUUUAACAACAUGUGGUACAUGGGAAAAUCAUCCAGCCUCUUUGUGACUCAGUUUCCUCACCGCCAAAUGAGAAUAGCAACACUUUCUGACCUCACAGGGAGUGCGUCUGAGAAGCAGUCGAGUACCUGGAGGGAAGGAGCUAAAAAAUAGACAUCUUUAGCACCAGCAGAUGCAGCGGGUGUACCUCACUGCAGCAAAUUUCCAGGUGAAGAGUCUUCUACUGGAAAAAUACUGAUUCAAUGCCACUGAAAUGCUUGGGGAAAAUAAAUGUUGUUUAAUACG
rnacentral:lncRNA from 7 species